rnacentral:rRNA from 1 species
AUUGAACGCUGGCGGCAGGCCUAACACAUGCAAGUCGAGCGGAUGAAGGGAGCUUGCUCCUGGAUUCAGCGGCGGACGGGUGAGUAAUGCCUAGGAAUCUGCCUGGUCGUGGGGGAUAACGUCAGGAAACGGGCGCUAAUAUCGCAUACGUCCUGAGGGAGAAAGUGGGGGAUCUUCGGACCUCACGCUAUUAGAUGAGCCUAGGUCGGAUUAGCUAGUUGGUGGGGUAAAGGCCUACCAAGGCGACGAUCCGUAACUGGUCUGAGAGGAUGAUCAGUCACACUGGAACUGAGACACGGUCCAGACUCCUACGGGAGGCAGCAGUGGGGAAUAUUGGACAAUGGGCGAAAGCCUGAUCCAGCCAUGCCGCGUGUGUGAAGAAGGUCUUCGGAUUGUAAAGCACUUUAAGUUGGGAGGAAGGGCAGUAAGUGAAUACCUUGCUGUUUUGACGUUACCAACAGAAUAAGCACCGGCUAACUUCGUG